rnacentral:rRNA from 1 species
GAUGAACGCUGGCGGCGUGCCUAAUACAUGCAAGUCGAGCGAACGGACGAGAAGCUUGCUUCUCUGGUGUUAGCGGCGGACGGGUGAGUAACACGUGGAUAACCUACCUAUAAGACUGGGAUAACUUCGGGAAACCGGAGCUAAUACCGGCUAAUAUUUUGAACCGCAUGGUUCAAAAGUGAAAGACGGUCUUGCUGUCACUUAUAGAUGGAUCCGCGCUGCAUUAGCUAGUUGGUAAGGUAACGGCUUACCAAGGCAACGAUGCAUAGCCGACCUGAGAGGGUGAUCGGCCACACUGGAACUGAGACACGGUCCAGACUCCUACGGGAGGCAGCAGUAGGGAAUCUUCCGCAAUGGGCGAAAGCCUGACGGAGCAACGCCGCGUGAGUGAUGAAGGUCUUCGGAUCGUAAAACUCUGUUAUUAGGGAAGAACAUAUGUGUAAGUAACUGUGCACAUCUUGACGGUACCUAAUCAGAAAGCCACGGCUAACUACGUG